AGAGUUUGAUCCUGGCUCAGGACGAACGCUGGCGGCGUGCUUAACACAUGCAAGUCGAGCGGUAAGGCCCUUUCGGGGGUACACGAGCGGCGAACGGGUGAGUAACACGUGGGUGACCUGCCCUCAGCUCUGGGAUAAGCCUGGGAAACCGGGUCUAAUACUGGAUAUGACUCCAUGACGCAUGUUGUGGGGUGGAAAGCCUUGUGCGGCUGAGGAUGGGCCCGCGGCCUAUCAGCUUGUUGGUGGGGUGAUGGCCUACCAAGGCGACGACGGGUAGCCGGCCUGAGAGGGCGACCGGCCACACUGGGACUGAGACACGGCCCAGACUCCUACGGGAGGCAGCAGUGGGGAAUCUUGCGCAAUGGGCGAAAGCCUGACGCAGCGACGCCGCGUGAGGGAUGACGGCCUUCGGGUUGUAAACCUCUUUCAGCUCCGACGAAGCGAGAGUGACGGUAGGAGCAGAAGAAGCACCGGCCAACUACGUGCCAGCAGCCGCGGUAAU
rnacentral:rRNA from 2 species